rnacentral:tRNA from 1 species
UAGCUCAGUGGCAUAAGCGCCUGCCUUCCAAGCAGGCAGCCCUGAGUUCGAUCCCCGG